CACGUGUGUACAUUUACAAAAUAUCAGUGCUCAUUAUCUGUCUGCGACUGUGGAUAUAGACGUAUUUAGAAAUAGACGUGCACGUUGCGGCUACGUAGUUCACACUCGCAAGUUCCCGGCAAUGCGUGAGUCACAUCGUCGCGUGCGCAUAAACUGUGAAAACGUAUACGUAUACUUACUACACAUGCGUAAGUAUGGUGAGAUCAUGAAAGCACAUGUGUUCCAACGUGGGCGGAACGUGGCCACCGACGUGCAACUCGAGUGCAUGCUGUAAAUUCAAAUAUGGAACACAUUAUUGGUAUCUAUUCGAUUUUAAAACAAUAAAUUCAUAAAUAAAAUGCU